AAACAACCAAAAUAACUAUACAACUACAUUACAACCAUUACUGAACCAGUCUGGAGUGAUAAGAUUCUCAGUAGAACAGUUAGCAGUUUUCAUCAUCAGGGACCUCAACUCUGACUCGGUCAAAUGAAUUAGGUUGCCGUGUGUUACAUGUGUAAUCCUUCCGUGUAAAUUACUCUACAUCUAUACCUAAUCCCUGCUUGAAGGGUCAUCCACAGAUCACAGCAAAGGAAUUGUGUGCAGCAACUUGACAAAUUUGUUUUUGCCCUUUUUUCUUGUCCAUUUCAGAAAUGAGAGGUCCUAAAUGUGUCUGCAGCUAAAUUAUUCAUAGACGAGAGAAGUCAAGGUUGCAACAUAUGCACAGUGUGUCCUUUGUAUCCUACCUCUGACAAUGAGGCUCACAGUUGACCCGAGAUUAAAGCUCAGGCUUACCGGAAAACUGCUCAAAAUGACAGUGAUCAGCGACCGAUGUGUGUGUGCUAACAGCAGCCCGGUGCGUGCCUAAUCUCCAAUAUUCUGAUGUCCACAGCCCGGUGCGUGCCUAAUCUCCAAUAUUCUGAUGUCCACCUUGUAGCUGCAAGUUCAUUUCGUCGGUCCAGUCCAGGGGGAGUUGUUGCUUUCAGGCUUUGCAUGCCAUGCAAUUCCGCAAGUACAAUGCUGAUAUCUGAAAGGGAUAAUUCAGCUCCGUUCCCUGAUCCUUUGCAUCAAAAGUUUUUUGCUUUACAAAAUGCACUUCUGCAAUCCGAGUCAUGAUGCAAAUCAAUCUAUACAAUGUGCAUUGGCGAAGAUCAAAUCAAGCAGGUGGGGUUACGGCAGCGGCACCCUCUCCUCAACUGAGACUUCGCCACAAGCCGGAUGGUGGGAUUACGACAGCAGGGAAGCAGAGGAAGGGAGCCAGGAAGGGGAUGUCAGAAAUUACCUUUGCCAUGAGGAGUCACAGGUCAUCCUCGUCACCUAUCCCGCUCCGCCGCAGAUCUGCGUCUCUGGUGCCGAUGCCUCACCACUGCCCAACCUCGUUCCUCUUUGCUGCAACAUCAUCGAUC
rnacentral:lncRNA from 1 species